rnacentral:lncRNA from 1 species
AUGAUGCCAAAGGCAAAGAAGGAAGCUCUUGCCCCUCCUAAAGCUGAAGCCAAAGCAAAGGCUUUGAAGGCCAAGAAGGCAGAGCUGAAAGGUAUCCACAGCCACAAAAAAAAGAUCUGCACGUCACCCACCUUCCAGCGGCCCAAGACACUGCGACUCUGGAGGCGGCCCAGAUAUUCCCAGAAGAGCAUCCCUGGGAGAAAUAAGCUUGGCCACUGUGUUAUCAUCAAGUUUCCGCUGACCACUGAGUUGGCCACGAAGAAGACAGACGACAACAACACACUGUGUUCAUUGUGGAUGUUAAAGCCAACAAGCACCAGAUCAAACAGGCUGUGAAGAAGCUCUAUGACAUCGACGUGGCAGUGGUCAACACCCUGAAUAGGCCUGAUGGAGAGAAGAAGGCAUAUGUUCAACUGGCUGCUGAUUAUGAUGCUUUGGAUGUUGCCAACAAAAAUGAGAUCAUG